GAUGAACGCUGGCGGCGUGCUUAACACAUGCAAGUCGAACGGUGAACGAGGGAGCUUGCUCCCUCCGGAUCAGUGGCGAACGGGUGAGUAACACGUGAGCAAUCUGCCCUGGACUCUGGGAUAAGCGUUGGACACGACGUCUAAUACCGGAUACGAGGCGUGGGGGCAUCCCCAACGCCUGGAAAGAACUUCGGUCCAGGAUGGGCUGGCGGCCUAUCAGCGAGUUGGUGAGGUAACGGCUCACCAAGGCGACGACGGGUAGCCGGCCUGAGAGGGUGAGCGGCCACACUGGGACAGAGACACGGCCCAGCCUGCUACGGGAGGCAGCAGUGGGGAAUGUUGCACAAUGGGCGCAAGCCUGAUGCAGCAACGCCGCGUGAGGGACGACGGCCUUCGGGUUGUAAACCGCUUUCAGCACAGACGAAGCUCUUUGGGGUGACGGUAUGUGCAGAAGAAGCACCGGCCAACUACGUGCCAGCAGCCGCCGAAAUAC
rnacentral:rRNA from 1 species